rnacentral:rRNA from 1 species
AAUAGAUACCCAGGUAGUCCACGCCCUAAACGAUGUCUACUAGUUGUCGGGUCUUAAUUGACUUGGUAACGCAGCUAACGCGUGAAGUAGACCGCCUGGGGAGUACGGUCGCAAGAUUAAAACUCAAAGGAAUUGACGGGGACCCGCACAAGCGGUGGAUGAUGUGGAUUAAUUCGAUGCAACGCGAAAAACCUUACCUACCCUUGACAUGUCAGGAACCUCCGAGAGAUUGGAGGGUGCCCGAAAGGGAGCCUGAACACAGGUGCUGCAUGGCUGUCGUCAGCUCGUGUCGUGAGAUGUUGGGUUAAGUCCCGCAACGAGCGCAACCCUUGUCAUUAGUUGCUACGAAAGGGCACUCUAAUGAGACUGCCGGUGACAAACCGGAGGAAGGUGGGGAUGACGUCAAGUCCUCAUGGCCCUUAUGGGUAGGGCUUCACACGUCAUACAAUGGUGCAUACAGAGGGCUGCCAACCCGCGAGGGGAGCUAAUCCCAGAAAGUGCAUCGUAGUCCGGAUUGUAGUCUGCAA